ensembl:lncRNA
CUACAGUGUCUCGGUUCUCAUUUCCUGGGGGAAAGACGCAGAAAUGGAGAUUCAUGUUGCUGGAAAUUGACCGGGGAAUGUUCUUGAACAACAUCAAGUAAAGGAGUUAAUGAAGCAGAACUGAGACUAUGGGAGGCUAAACUGAGAUGCUGUUGCUAGCCCAGGUCUUAGCUGAGACACAGGGCUCUGAGGCUUAAAUGGCCUGUGGCUGUUAUCUUGGAUUCACUCAAAGGGAGUAAGGCGCUUACCUUACUCAACACUUGCCAGUCAUGCAAUGGUGCUAGCACAGGUGAGAAGAACUUUGGCAAGGCAGCUUCCUUUCAGUAGGGGUUUUUUUCCAAAGAAGCCCAACAUAUGUGACAGCUGAAGAAUUAAUGAAUGCCUCUGGCCCUGAGGAGGACCCUGCCUGAGCAUGGAAAGAUUUACUACAGUCAUUCUGUGUACCUCUUGAAUCCAACAUGAUGUAUGGACAUUUGUCUGCAUGUAUGUCUGGUAUCACAUGCAUGCCUGUUCCCCAUGGAGAUCAGAAGAGAGCAUUGGAUCCCUUGGAACCAGAAUUACAGAUGGUUGUGAGCCACCAUGUGGGUGCUCGGAUUUGAACCUGGCUCCUUCGGAAGAACAGCCUCUCUUAAGAGCAGUGGUCAUCCUAACCACUGACCAUCUCUCUAGCUUAAGUUUCCCUUUUUGCCUAGGCUUGACCUCACUCACAGUAUGGAAGAACUCAGCAAAUACUGACCGUAUUUGCAAUAUAGAAGCUAUCAGUGGGCUUUUGGCAUGCAUGUCCUUCAUAAACCUUUUCGUAUUCUAUUUAGAUUCAAUUUCUCCCUCCCUUCAUCUCACUAUGUAGCACAGGCUACCUCCACACUAUAUAUCCUGGGCUGGCUUCAAACUUCUAAUUCUCCUGCCUCAGGCUCCCAGGGGCUGGUCUCACGGUGAUGAGCCACAAUUCUUGGCUGAGAGCUCACCUUUUCUUAAGAUUGAAGUCUGUUGUGUUUUUAAAACUUUUCUGUUCCCAACAGAACAGUUCAUGUUUAAUUCAUACCAUAUCCACAUAGGUAGGUAAUGUUUUGAGAGUAGAUACUUUAUUAUGAAG